rnacentral:lncRNA from 1 species
CCAACUUCGAUCGACCAAAAAAUAUUUUGACUUUGGUCGACCAAAAGAUAUUCGAUUGAUUACCGUAUAUCAAACAUUUAUAAAGUUAAUCGGUUAAUAUCUGGCUACAAAAAUUAUGCCCAAGAAUUAGUUGGUUAACAUCCGACUAAAAGGCAAACUUUAUGACAUUGAUAACCGAGUGCAAUGCAUCUAAAUUAGCAACAUUCAUCUAUGAUGAAUGAUGAUCACAUUCAAAAAAACUUGGGUACUUAGAAAUUUUCUUUCAUUAUCCAACUGAAGACUACAAAAAUCGGACC